rnacentral:rRNA from 1 species
AGUCGAGCGAACAGAUAAGGAGCUUGCUCCUUUGACGUUAGCGGCGGACGGGUGAGUAACACGUGGGUAACCUACCUAUAAGACUGGGAUAACUUCGGGAAACCGGAGCUAAUACCGGAUAAUAUUUCGAACCGCAUGGUUCGAUAGUGAAAGAUGGUUUUGCUAUCACUUAUAGAUGGACCCGCGCCGUAUUAGCUAGUUGGUAAGGUAACGGCUUACCAAGGCGACGAUACGUAGCCGACCUGAGAGGGUGAUCGGCCACACUGGAACUGAGACACGGUCCAGACUCCUACGGGAGGCAGCAGUAGGGAAUCUUCCGCAAUGGGCGAAAGCCUGACGGAGCAACGCCGCGUGAGUGAUGAAGGUCUUCGGAUCGUAAAACUCUGUUAUUAGGGAAGAACAUACGUGUAAGUAACUGUGCACGUCUUGACGGUACCUAAUCAGAAAGCCACGGCUAACUACGUGCCAGCAGCCGCGGUAAUACGUAGGUGGCAAGCGUUAUCCGGAAUUAUUGGGCGUAAAGCGCGCGUAGGCGGUUUUUUAAGUCUGAUGUGAAAGCCCACGGCUCAACCGUGGAGGGUCAUUGGA